UGUUAAAAUUUUCAUCCAAUUAUACGGUUAAAAACUGGGAUAGCUAACGGAAUAACCAUACAAUGACAUGUGGUGUGUCAUAUGUACCUCAUGCUAAUGUAGAUGGACUGGUUUUUAAGAUUUGAAAUAGAUAAAAAAAUAAUA
rfam:Gossypium raimondii Chr06_contig_880, whole genome shotgun sequence.